AAUGUAGAAGCAACUUUGAUCGGUUAGCAGCAGCAUGAUGGAGGAUGGAUGAAGAAGCUAUUUUUGAGAUCAGUUUUGCAGAGAUGACAAUGAUAUCCUCCCCUACCCCGGUAUCUCAUUGAGAUUCUUCCUUCAAAUGAUUCUGUUACUGUUUACUACUUUGGGCAUUUUUAAGCUUUCUGGUAGAAGUUGGUUUUUGCAAA
rnacentral:misc_RNA from 1 species